ensembl:antisense A730035I17Rik RIKEN cDNA A730035I17 gene
AGCUGCGACACCGAGGUGAAGGCGCUGCCGCGCGCGGGACUCCCGCCCUCCAGCCGUCCGGGAAGAGCGCCUCCGGGACGCGGGGCCAGCAGCUUCUCGGGGGCCCCUGGCGACCCCGCCGCGGGGGUGGACGAGCCGUUGCUGCCGCCGCCGGCGACACCGCCUCCCGCAUCGGGGUCCUCGGCCGCGCCCCCUGCGCCGUCUGUCGCCGCCGCCUCCUCCUGCAAGCCCACCGCGCGGCCCGCCUUCUUCACCUCCACGAAGGCGCUGCGCUUCGCCUCGCCGGUCUCCGGGCUGGGCGGCGCGAAGAGCCGGCCGUUCUCCUCCAGGCCGAAGUAGCUGCCGGCGGCGCGGUACUGCUGCGGCGUGCACACCAACUCCUCCUUGGAGGUCGCCAGCGGCCUCUCGGAGAAGCGCGCACGGCCGCCGGCCAGCCCGGCGCCGCCGCCCUCCGCAGCCGUCUCCUCCGGGAACCGCCUCUUGCCUUUGCAGCCGCCGGUGGCGACGCCGUCGGGACUCAGCUCCGCCUCCUGGUGGCCGCUGCCGCCACUGCCGACGCCCGGGGCCGCUACGCAACUGCUGCUUCCCCGGGAGUUUUCCAGUUCCCGAGCCAGGUUGUGGAAGUCCGUGGACGGCUUGGCGCUGCCGGCACCCGCGGAGCCCGGCGGGUUGCUCGCCUCCGGGGAUGACGCGGGGUAGUGGUGUAUGGGGCCGGCUUUGCAGAACUUCGGGCCCGGGAUCAACGGCGCCUCCUGUUGCUGCUGCUGUUGCUGCUGCUGUUGCUCUUUACCACUACCGCCACCGCCGUGGUCCUUAGUGCCCAAGCCGCCCCCUUGCUCGUCUUGGGGAUUCGCAUCAGUGCUGUGAAGUCUCUUGGGGCAGCGGAAUCGCAGAUGUGCCACAUAGGGGAACUCAAACUGGAAACGUUGGCUGCAUUCCAGGCAUGUGUAAGCAGAUGACCCUGCUUAGUGAGCACACACACACACCACAUGGUUAGUUAGCAUCGCCCCUAGGCCACUUAGCCAUCCUCCCCAUAACAAAUCCACUUUAUCUUUCCAGGCUGAGUGCCCCCAAAAAUGAAUACACUAUCCUAUUUGGUGCAACUUUCUUUCUUGAUUUGUGCAUUUACUAAGUCAAACGCUCCCCAACUUUUCCUUCCCCUUCUGUCCUAGUUCCAUUCGGGACAACACCUCAGAAGCUUCGUCCACCCUAUGAUGUGCCCAAGAUAAGCAAGGUGAGCCCAGGCACCCGAGCCAACCUACCGUUCAUUUUGUGAGCUCUAGAAGGGCAGAGCAAGAGCAACUCAGUCAGUUCUUUCCCGUACCAAACUAGUAACUCUUCAUCUUUGGCAAUCCUGCGGAGAGAGCGGUAGAACAGCUGUCCGUUUUUUAUAUAAGCUUCGAGAUUCUGUUCUUCCUUAUCUCGGGCUGAUUGGACCAGCCGCAGCCACAUGAGACCUUCUGAGGAACCAUUUGCCGCCGAAGUGUCUACCUACAGUAUUUAAGAAAGACAAGAAGGGAGGGAUCCACGUGAAAGACGGAAACCAGAGAAACCAGAGAUAUUUCAUCUGUUUGUUCUUCCCAAACAAUUAUCUGAAACCAAGUUUGCAAAAGUUGACCCAAGUCGGACUGCAUCCCUGCAUUUGUGGUCAAUGGGCACAGUGGCCAUCCUUUGCAACACUGAGUCAGUCUUACAGAGUAGCCUCUUUACAGUCUCCUUUUCCGUUACCUCACAUGACAAAAGGAGAGGACAUUUCCCGUGUUUCAGAAGUAAAAGGAAAUUACCCUCAGACACCUCCGUCACACUUGCUGAGACUCACCCGGAAGAUGUAAGGUACUGUUCUCUUGUCCGUGGACUUGAGGGCUACGAAGGCUAUGCUGUCAUACAGGGAAGUAUGGCUCAGAACACAGGGACCGAAUAUGGCGUUCUCUGGGAUGUCGCAGGUUGUAUAUACACUGGUAAAAAUGUCUGUCAGACACUGUUGGACAGCCUUGGCAUCUCCAUCCCAGAUGCCUCUCUGGAUGCCUGAAUCCUCCAUCACUGGAGACAGAUACCCAGGACGAGAAGAGAGUUGUUAUUGCAUUUUCUGCUACGAACCUCGAACCUCGGCAGAGCAUUUCCGCUACCAGACAUAUUUUCUUUGCACUUGCCGGCUUUUUUUUUUUUUUUUUUACAUAGUUCCUACUUUAAAAAUCAAGCAGAUCAAUCUGGCAUGUUUUAAAGAUGC